ACGCUUUAACUGAUUAGCGAAAUGAAAAAUGAAUGCCUUUAUCAUUGAAACGUAACAGAUAAAACGAAACAAUAGUUUGCACGUUUUGCACGUAUAUAUCCAGGUAUAACGCUUAUUAAGGAUGUUUGAAAGCAUUAAGUUUAAAUGAUAUAUAGAUUGAAAGUUUCUUAACAUUAAUUGGCACAGAUGUCGUAGUUUUUUUGUGACGGGCAGUGCAGAAUAAAAAAAACAGGAAUGAGUCACUCUAGAGCGGAAUAGGGCGAUUGAACAGUUUGCGUGAAGUGUGAAAUAGAGUCUAUCUCUUUAUGCCAAUUGAACUUAGAUUUAAAAAUAAUCACAGCUAAGAUUCCCUUGUUGCUGAGCCAAUUUAUGCGUUCCGAAAAUGAAACCGCUAAGAGUCUUAAGCGCAGUGAUUGAAGAAACUCAAAUGAAUCUUAAAACUUCUUCGGAAGAUGAAUCUCAGCUUGGUACAUUAGCCUUGCUCGAACCACCACCACCACCUACUCCAGACUGUACUCGUUUAUAUUUGUGGAUCUCAGUAGCAGUUAUUGUUCUGGCUUCAUUGAUUAUUGCUGGAAUACUAACAUUUUUCUGCAGACGCAAUAGAGAGUCUGAAACUGAGAAAUCGGCAAUCAAAAAUGAGACAAUUUCUAAAUAACUACCCACGGACUCUUAAAGGAAGGCCUUUAAAAUAAUGUUAUUCACAUUAUUUCCAAAGGAUUAAGAUGGCCGCUCUAGUCUAAGUCACAUCAUAACCAACAUAGAACUGCAAAAUUCGAGAGAAAGUGGAGAUGAAUCGUCCAGAUCAGAAGCAAGGCCUCAUUUCCAGUUCCAUGCAAUCACAGGGGACAAUAUUAAGCUAACUAUGGUUGAACGGUACUAAACUCUCUGCUAGUUUUUAUGGUUGUAUUGGUGAUAUGUUAACUGUAGGAUUAUGAUUAUUAGUAUCUUAAAUGCCAAUUAAGAGUGAGAUUUUACAAUUAAGAAAUUUACCUGUUGCAAAGAAAAAUAUCUGCAAUAAAAAAUAUUUAUGUGAAA